rnacentral:rRNA from 1 species
UACGUAGGGGGCAAGCGUUGUCCGGAUUUAUUGGGCGUAAAGAGCGUGUAGGCGGCUAGAUAGGUCCGUUGUGAAAACUCGAGGCUCAACCUCGAGACGUCGAUGGAAACCAUCUGGCUAGAGUCCGGAAGAGGAGAGUGGAAUUCCGAGUGUAGAGGUGAAAUUCGUAGAUAUUCGGAAGAACACCAGUGGCGAAGGCGACUUACUGGACACGUAUUGACGCUGAGGUGCGAAAGCGUGGGGAGCAAACAGG